rnacentral:rRNA from 1 species
GCAGUCAAAGUAGGCAAAUCCGCUUUGAUAAUGCUGGGAUGUGAUGGGGAGCGAAAUUUAGUAGCGAAGUAGCUGAUUUCCCACUGUCAAGAAAAGUCUCUAUCGAGGUUAAAGGUACCCGUACCGCAAACCGACCCAGGUGGGUGAGGAGAGUAUCCUAAGGCCAGCGAGAGAACUGUUGUUAAGGAACUCGGCAAAAUGACCC